UACAGAGGUCUCAAGCGUUGUUCGGAUUCAUUGGGCGUAAAGGGUGCGUAGGCGGCGCGGUAAGUCGGGUGUGAAAUCUCGGAGCUUAACUCCCGAAACUGCAUUCGAUACUGCCGUGCUUGAGGACUGGAGAGGAGACUGGAAUUUACGGUGUAGCGGUGAAAUGCGUAGAUAUCGUAAGGAAGACCAGUGGCGAAGGCGGGUCUCGUGGACAGU
rnacentral:rRNA from 1 species